GGACACAGCAUGCGUUGAUUGGCGUGCUGUCGGGCUGACCCCGGGUGUCGAUGCAUGCUGUCUGACUGUGCCACUAGCUCCUUGCGACGACCUUCCCCUGCUUCCAACUCGUCUCCUCCUCCUCCCUGUCUCCCCAUCUGAACUUUCACCCUGUUCUUCUUCUUGACGAGCGGGCACCCACGUGACAUCCAUGGACGCAUCGUCAUCAUCAAACGCUUCACUUGUAUCUGACAACUCAGCAAAGGAAGCAGCAGCGGGUACAACAUCAUCAUCAUCAUCACACCGUACGUCCAUGUGUGUAAUGCUGCCUGCCUGAGACAUAUCCCUGUUAUCUACAUCCUCUGGCAAUAAUGGUUGCGCAUCACUCAUUUCUUCAAGCGGAUGUGUG